rnacentral:rRNA from 1 species
UACGUAGGGGGCUAGCGUUGUCCGGAAUCAUUGGGCGUAAAGGGUGUGUAGGUGGCGCCGUAAGUCGGGUGUGAAAUCUCGGGGCUUAACUCCGAAACUGCAUUCGAUACUGCGGUGCUUGAGGACUGGAGAGGAGACUGGAAUUCAUGGUGUAGCAGUGAAAUGCGUAGAGAUCAUGAGGAAGACCAGUGGCGAAGGCGGGUCUCUGGACAGUUCCUGACACUGAGACACGAAGGCCAGGGGAGCAAACGGG